CUAUUCAAAUGCUCCAUUAUCGUUUUUGGUUCUUAUAUAUAUAUAUUAUAUAUUAUUAUGUAUAUUUUUUUAUUUCACCUUUAUUUAACCAGGUAGGCCAGUUGAGAACAAGUUCUCAUUUACAACUGCGACCUGGCCAAGAUAAAGCAAAACAGUGCGACACAAACAACAACACGGAGUUACACAUGGAAUAAACAAACGUACAGUCAAUAACACAAUAGAAAAGUCUAUAUACAGUGUGUGCAAAUUAAGUAAGAUUAGGGAGGUAAGGCAAUAAAUAGGCCAUAGUUGCGAAAUAAAUGACAAUUUAGCAAUUAAACACUGGAGUGAUAGAUGUGCAGAAGAUGAAUGUGCAAGUAGAGAUUCUGGGGUGUAAAGGAGCAAAAAAAACAAAAACAAUAUGGGGAUGAGGUAGUUGGGUGGGCUAUUCACAGAUGGGCUAUGUACAGGUGCAAUGGUCUGUAAGCUGCUCUGACAGCUGAUGCUUAAAGUUAGUGAGGGGGAUAUGAGUCUCCAGCUUCAGUGAUUUUUGCAGUUUGUUCCAGUCAUUGGCAGCAGAUAACUGGAAGGAAAGGAGGCCAAAGUAGUGAGUGAGCUGAGAUAAGGUGGGGCUUUACCUAGCAAAGACUUAUAGAUGAGCUGGAGCCAGUGGGAUUAGCGACGAAUAUGAAGAGAGGCCAAGCCAAUGAGAGCAUACAGGUAGCAGUGGUGGGUAGUAAAUGGGGCUUUGGUGACAAAACGAAUGGCACUGUGAUAGACUGCAUCCAAUUUGCUGAGUAGAGUGUUGGAGGCUAUUUUGUAAAUUAGGUCGCCAAAGUCAAGGAUUGGUAGGAUAGUCUGUUUUACGAGGGUAUGUUUGGCAGAAUGAGUGAAGGAUGCUUUGUUGCGAUAUAGGAAGCCCAUUCUAGAUUUAAUUUUGGAGAUGCUUAAUGUGAGUCUGGAAGGAGAGUUUACAGUCUAACCAGACACGUAGGUAUUUGUAGUUGUCCACAUAUUGUAAGUCAGAACCAUCCAGAGUAGUGAUGCUAGACGGGCAGGCAGGUGCGGGCAGCGAUCGGUUGAAGAGCAUUUAGUUUUACUUGCAUUUAAGAGCAGUUGGAGGCCACGGAACGAGAGUUGUGUGGCAUUGAAACUCGUCUGGAGGGUAGUUAACACAGUGUCCAAAGAAGGGCCAGAUAUAUACAAAAUGGUGUCGUCUGCAUAGAGGUGGAUCAGAGAAUCACCAGCGACAAGAGCGGCAUCAUUGACGUAUACAGAGAAAAGAGUCGGCCAGAGAAUUGAACCCUGUGGCAUCCCCAUAGAGACUGCCAGAGGUCCGGACAACAGGCCCUCCGAUUUGACACACUGAACUCUGUCUGAGAAGUAUUUGGUGAACCAGGCGAGGCAGUCAUUUGAGAAACCAAGGCUGUUGAGUCUGCCGAUAAGAAUGCUGUGAUUGACAGAGUCAAAAGCCUUGGCCAGGUCGAUGAAUACGGCUGCACAAUAUUGUCUUUUAUCGAUGGCAGUUAUGAUGUCGUUUAGGACCUUGAGCGUGGCUGAGGUGCACCCAUGACCUGCUCAGAAACCAGAAUGCAUAGCGGAGAAGGUACGGUGGGAUUCGAAAUGGUCGGUGAUCUGUUUGUUAAUUUGGCUUUCGAAUACCUUAGAAAUGCAGGGUAGGGUAGAUAUGGGUCUGUAACAGUUUUGGUCUAGGGUGUCACCCCCUUUAAAGAGGGGGAUGACCGCGGCAACUUUCCAAUCUUUGGGAAUCUCAGACGAUACAAAAGAGAGGUUGAACAGGCUGGUAAUAGGGGUUGCAACAAUUGCGGCGGAUAAUUUUAGAGAGGGUCCAGAUUGUCUAUCCCAGCUGAUUUGUAGGGGUCCAGAUUUUGCAGCUCUUUCAGAACAUCAGCUAUCUAGAUUUGGGUGAAGGAGAAAUGGGGGAGGCUUGGGCAAGUUGCUGUGGGGGGUGCAGAGCUGUUGACCGGGGUAGGGGUAGCCAGGUGGAAAACAUGGCCAGCCGUAGAAAAAUGCUUAUUGAAAUUCUCAAUUAUCGUAGAUUUAUCAGUGGUGACAGUAUUUCCUAGCCUCAGAGCAGUGGGCAGCUGGGAGGAGGUGCUCUUAUUCUCCAUGGAUUUUAAAGUGUCCCAGAACUUUUUGGAGUUUGUGCUAAUUUCGGCAAAUUUCUGUUUGAAUAAGCUAGUCUUUACUUUCCUAACUGCCUGUGUAUAUUGGUUCCAAACUUCCCUGAAAAGUUGCAUAUCGCAGGGGCUAUUUGAUGCUAAUGCAGAACACCACAGGAUGUUUUUGUGCUGGUCAAGGGCAGUCAGGUAUUGAGUGAACCAAGGGCUAUAUCUGUUCCUGGUUAAAAAAAUUUUAGUGGGGCAUGCUUAUUUAAGAUGGUGAGGAAAGCACUUUUAAAGAAUAACCAGGCAUCCUCUACUGACGGAAUGAGGUCAAUAUCCUUCCAGGAUACCCGGGCCAGGUCGAUUAGAAAGGCCUGCUCGCUGAAGUGUUUUAGGGAGCGUUUGACAGUGAUGAGGGGUGGUCAUUUGAUGCAUUACGGACGCAGGCAAUGAGGCAGUGAUCACUGAGAUCAUGGUUGUAGACAGCAGAUGUGUAUUUAAAGGGCAGGUUGGUCAGGAUGAUAUCUAUGAGGGUGCCCGUGUUUACGGAUUUGGGGUUGUACCUGGUAGGUUCCAUGAUAAUUUGGGAGACAUUGAGGGCAUCUAGCUUAGUUUGUAGGACGGCCGGAGUGUUAAGCAUGUCCCAGUUUAGGUCACCCAACAGUGCAAACUCUGAAGAUAAACGGGGGGCAAUUAAUUCACAUAUGAUGUCCAGGGCACAGAUGGGGGCCGAGGGGGGUCUGUAACAAACGGCAACAGUGAGAGACUUAUUUCUGGAAAGGUUUCUUUUUAAAAGUAGAAGCUCGAACUGUUUGGGCACAGAGCUGGAUAGCGUGACAGAACUCUGCAGGCUGUCUCUGCAGUAGAUUGCAACUCCACCCCCUUUGGCAGUUCUAUCUUGGCGGAGAAUGUUGUAGUUGGGGAUGGAAAUUUCUGAAUUUUUGGUGGCCUUCCUAAGCUGUUUUGGCAGUUCCUGUUUACUAUACAGUGUACAAUAAAGAAUAUUGACAGAAUUCAAUACACAAUCCGAUCUCAUACAAAACCAACCCAGCAUAGAACACUCAUCAAAUAUUUAUGAAUGUUUUAGUCAAUUUAAAAUGUGAAUAACAGUUAUUCUCGAUGACCACAACCAUCAGAAAUGUGUUGACUAAUCAGGUUAGCGUUCAAAAUAAUGGAAUUAUGACAUGCAUUGAAUCAAAUAAAAAUAGAAUCCUGCCUAACUCACACUUGUGGGAUUAUGACAGAAUUAAGGCCACAUAUCCAUAUCCCUAUGCCAUAAAUCAUAAGACAACCCUUCAUACCAUUGUCCAUCUUAUUCUAUAGCCUCUGUUGACCUACUCUUACAAUGUCCUAAAUGCUUGGUGACAAAAAAGUUUGGUGACAAAUGUUUCCCUAAUGGUUCAUCUCUUCCCAGGGUAUCUAAGGGCCACUUCCCAAUAUGGUUUAAGUCCAAAAUUCUCCUUAAGUGCUGUAGGAAAAAGGAACGACGGCAUUUGGCACGACAUCGACAAACUGUUGUUGUGCAAUUUACUUACAGAGAAAUCAAAUUUGUGCAAGAGAAGCCAUGCCCGUUUUUUGGCACAUCCCCAGAAAGCUGUCAGAAAGUUAAUGGCAGUCUUUUUAGUAGUAGUAACUAUCACUAUGGUGGAGUGAGUGAGUGAGUGAGUGAGUGAGUGAGUGAGUGAGUGAAGGGAAGAACGUGUGUAUGCAGUAAAAGAGAGAAAUCAAACAAGUCAGAAUAGAGACUUGACUGUGAACAAAAUCUCUACGUUUGAAUGAUCCGUUAUAGUCAGGAAUUUCUCAAAGAAAAAAAAUAUAAUAACAAGACAAGUAGGCCUACAAAACAAUGACAUGCAUUGUAAAUAAACUUGUGUAGAUCCUAUGAGCCCAGCCAAAAUAAUGAAAAAAUAUAGACCCAUUCUUGGAAACCAGAGCUGUGGCGGAAAGAAACCAUGCAUAAAUAUGCAGAGUAAAUCAGCCCAUUGCAACUUCUUCGAAACAGGCUUAGUGGCG
ensembl:lncRNA